GCAAAUUAGGAUUUGGUUCGGUAUUCGGCCGAAUCUUUCACAAAGGAUUCGGGGGUUCGGCCGAAUCCAAAAUAGUGGAUUCGGUGCAUCCCUAAUUUGAAUAUAUUUGACAAAAGGUGCCUGAGCAGCUUCUGGAGUGCACUACAAAUGGGGUUUAAACUCCAUCUAUCCAAAAACCUUUGCAAUAAAAAAAGACUUUUUUGUGGAAAACUAUAUUUUUUUGUUUUCACCAUGCCUCCCCUUGGUUAACGAACUGCUAGAAAUAGUGCCUUCGAUUCGAAGGUUUUGAUCGUAUCGUAAAGUUGAAGAGGAUCGAAGUGAACCUUGCCCCACUUGUAUUCAAAUCGAUUCAAAGUUUUUAUGCCCCACUUCCUUUAUGCCAUUUUUUUCAAACAGGAAGUCCUCUGGAGGCCAUUUUAGGUGAAUUUUCGGCCUUAAUGCUCACUUGCUAUUUGCAUGAGCCAGGUGGAGGAGGCUCCCAAACUGCUGCAUUAAAAAUGUAAAGAAGAAGUGAGGAGGAGGAAGGAGAAUGUUGUUCCAGCCCUGAUGAGGUGCCCAGGGUGGCUACAUCCCACACUAUGUGGGAUGCAAGUCACCACAGAAGGGGAAGAGAGGGGGACAGGGGCUGGAGUGUCAGAGGGAGGGGUUCCUGGGGGGAAGGAGAGGAGAGCGGGUCAGCUGGAGGGUCCCGUAGAGGAGGAGAGGUCAGGGAGUGGCAGGAGUAGGUUAGGGAGGGUGUCCCCCAGCCCACAUAGAGGGUCCUCCAAGGCACGCCAAAUGUCCUCCGCAACAUCUGGGACACGUGGCAGGUCUGACACCCCAGCCAGGGGAAGUAGGGCCUAUCCCAGGGCACGCCACGUGUCCCCUGCAACAUUGGGGACACGUGGCAGGUCUGACACCUCAACCAGGACUGGGACUAGCGCCCCCAGGAGGAGGCAUGCCAGCACAGAGGAGGAGGUGGAAACAGCACCUGCCUCACAGAGGAGACAGGAGGAGGAGAAGGACGACGAUGAGGGCCCCAGUGGGCGAAUCUUUACCAGUGACGAGAAUGCAACACUGGUCGAUGAAGUCAUCGCGCAAUGGGAUGUGUUGUUUGGAAUUCAGUCCCAGCAUAUCAAUGCUGCCAGACGACAAAAAAUCUGGCAGCGGGUAACACAGAGUCAACUCUGUAGACACUGUACACAGGGAUCGCAACACUGUGUACAAGCGCUUCAGUGACCUGAAGCUUUGGAUACAGGCGAAGUUUGCUGCCAGGAGAGCGAAGGCCCAGAAGACCAGCGGAGGCCCAGUUCCACCUUUGAGGCUCAAGCCUUACGAAUGCCGGCUUCUGGACAGUAUGGGCAGAGAGGUCUGUGAAGGUUUGGAAAGCCCAUACCUGGAAACAGAUUGGAGAACACCAACCGCGUACAUCGCGCCGUGCCUUGGACAGAGACCAGGACCAGGACGCAGAUGCUCAGCAACCCCAGGAAGAGGGUGAGGCCGCAGAUAGCCCUAGAGCCCUGGAAGCUCAAGAACACCGAGCUCCCCGCCGUGCCCAAUCACCAGCCAUGAUUCCUGUGGUGCCCCCCAGACCUGUUCUUUUAUAAUGAGACAGUAGAACUAGUAAUGGCUGCAGCAGGAGCCCUGCUCUUCUGUGGAUUUAUCAUCUAUGACACACAUUUAUUGAUGCACAAACUGUCCCCAGUGGAGUAAAUCCUGGCGUCUGUCAACCUUUAUCUGGACAUCAUUAACUUUUUUCUCCAUCUGCUUAGAAUAUUACAAGCUGUUAUGUGCAAAUAACUAUGAUUAGUGUAUGCCAUAAUUUGGGCUCAUAAAUUCCUAUUGUUUUAUUUUUUUUCUCUAAACAUAUUUAAAUAUAAUGUGAUAUGAUGCAUAUGUUUUAGUCAAUUACACUCUAUAAAAAAUAGUUUUCUGUUAAGCUUCAUCAGAUGCAGUAUUGCUGUAGUCACCGACUAGGGCCUGUCAAAGCCUAAAUGCAGAAGAGAGAGUAAUCUAGGGGAGGGUCAUGAAUAGAGUUGCUUUUAGGGCUCUUACAGACAAGCAUUUUUACCUGCGCUCCCCU